UACGAAGGGGGCUAGCGUUGCUCGGAAUCACUGGGCGUAAAGGGUGCGUAGGCGGGUCUUUAAGUCAGGGGUGAAAUCCUGGAGCUCAACUCCAGAACUGCCUUUGAUACUGAGGAUCUUGAGUACGGGAGAGGUGAGUGGAACUGCGAGUGUAGAGGUGAAAUUCGUAGAUAUUCGCAAGAGCACCAGUGGCGAAGGCGGCUCACUGGCCCGUAACUGACGCUGAGGCACGAAAGCGUGGGGAGCAAACAGG
rnacentral:rRNA from 1 species